UGUUGACUCUACGUUGCUGGGAAGAUUAAGCAGUUGAAAGAGCAGAUUGCAACACUUGAAAAACGCGAGGAGAGGUACAAGACAGUCUUUGCAGAAAGAAUCUCUGUUUU